UGCACGCUCCUUAGAUCCAUCUCUGACGAUCCCUGAGAGAUGCUUGAGUCAUUGGCGUGCUAGAUUAUGCAAUACCUUCUUCUCAACCCUUUGUUCUCAGUGUCGAACGAUUUCGGUGAUUCGAACGUGCGCCGAAAUUGCCUUGAAGACUAUGAGCAGCUUGAAAAGCGGACAUU